AGAUGGCUUAGUUAAGUUGACCCAGCUAUUGGGAUGGGUUGUGCAAAGCCCAGGCACAGGGUUCAGACUCCAUCUUCUGUGUUCUUCUUAAUUGACAAACUGCAAUGGCUGUCUUCAGAGUCUUGGUUUUCUAUGGUGGUCAACUCCUGAGUUCUUAUGAUGUCGCUGGGCACAGAAAAAAUAAACGGAGAAGAUCCCAGUGAUACGGAGACUUGGAUGAUUCAGAUGGAAAAAGCAUGAGUUGCCAGCAUUAAGCUGCACGUGAUUUCUGGGCAG
rnacentral:lncRNA from 1 species